rnacentral:rRNA from 1 species
UACGGAGGGUGCAAGCAUUAAUCGGAUUUAUUGGGCGUAAAGGGCGCGUAGGCGGAAAGACAAGUCAGAUGUGAAAUCCCGGGGCUCAACCUCGGAACUGCAUUUGAAACUGUCUUCCUUGAGGGUAGGCGGAGAAAACGGAAUUCCACAAGUAGCGGUGAAAUGCGUAGAUAUGUGGAAGAACACCGGUGGCGAAGGCGGUUUUCUAGCUUACUCCUGACGCUGAGGCGCGAAAGCAAGGGGAUCAAACAGG